GCGUCUAUAGCUUAAUCGGACAGAGCAAGGGCUUGCGGAGCCCUCGAUCCCCGUUCGAUUCGGGGUAGACGCA
rnacentral:tRNA from 1 species